rnacentral:misc_RNA from 1 species
GAUGAAGAACGUAGCGAAAUGCGAUAAGUAAUGUGAAUUGCAGAAUUCAGUGAAUCAUCGAAUCUUUGAACGCACCUUGCACCCUUUGGCAUUCCGAAGGGUAUGUUCGUUUGAGUGUCAUUGUACUCUCACUCUCCCGAUGCUUUUGGAUCGGGAGUGGUGGACUUGGGUGUUGCUGCUUUGCUGUGGCUCGCCUCAAAUGGAGUAGUGCAACUCUUGGUUGGACAUAGUACGGCGUGAUAAGUGUCUUCGCCGGCGCCUCAUUAUAGAGGGUGGCCGAUCGGGAGCUCUGUGCUUCAAACCGUCUUCGGACAACAUCUGACAACUUGACCUCAAAUCGAGUAGGACUACCCGCUGAACUUAAGCAUAUCAAUAAGCGGAGGA